UACGAAGGGGGCUAGCGUUGUUCGGAAUUAUUGGGCGUAAAGAGCUCGUAGGCGGUUUGUCGCGUCUGCCGUGAAAGUCCGGGGCUCAACUCCGGAUCUGCGGUGGGUACGGGCAGACUAGAGUGAUGUAGGGGAGACUGGAAUUCCUGGUGUAGCGGUGAAAUGCGCAGAUAUCAGGAGGAACACCGAUGGCGAAGGCAGGUCGCUGGGCAUUAACUGACGCUGAGGAGCGAAAGCAUGGGGAGCGAACAGG
rnacentral:rRNA from 1 species